rnacentral:rRNA from 1 species
GACGAACGCUGGCGGCGUGCUUAACACAUGCAAGUCGAGCGGAGCGGCGAACGGGUGAGUAACGCGUGAGUAACUGCCCCCCUCUCUGGGAUAACAGUAGGAAACGGCUGCUAAUACCGGAUAGUGGGGGAUGACUCGCGUUCUAUCAGCUUGUUGGUGGGGUAGUGGCUUACCAAGGGGACGACGGGUAGCCGGCCUGAGAGGGGGACAGGCCACAUUGGGCUGAGAUACGGCCCAAGCUCCUACGGGAGGGAGAGGUGGGGAAUAUUGCACAAUGGGGGAAACCCUGAUGCAGCAACGCGCGUGCGGGAUGACGGCCUUCGGGUUGUAAACCGCUUUCAGCAGUGACGCGGUAGUGGCAGAAGAAGCACCGGCUAACUACGUGCCAGCCGCCGCGGUAAUAC